AGAUUUGCAGCAUUACUUUAUUCCAAUCUUUUGUUGCUAAAAGUCUUAAGGCAUUCACCCAUUUGUUAAAACCUUUACAGCCAGGCGCGGUGGCUCACUCCUGUAAUCCCAGCACUUUGGGAGGCCGAGGCGGGUGGAUCAUGAGCCACUGUGCCCAGCCCUUUUUGUUUUGUUUUGUUUUUUUGUUAGAGAUGAGGCCUCACUUUGUUCCCCAGGCUGGUCUCAAACUCCUGGUUUCAAGCAGUCCUCCCAUCUUGGCCUCCCAAAGUGCUGGGAUUACAGAUGUGAGCCACAGCACCUAGCCAAAAAUGCAUUUUAAAUUAAUUUUUAAAAAGUGAAUCAUACUGUGUAUUCAGAAAAUAUACGAAAACAUACACUCAAACAUUUACGUAUGCAUCAGAUAAUUCAUAAGGGAGAGUAAUUUUCUGUUUGUACUGAAUGUGGGUAGGGUUUUCUUUACAAGUCAUACCUCAUUACAUAUCAGAAAAUUCAUGCUGGAGAGAAACUUUAUGAAUAUGAUGACUAGGAAAUCUUCCACUGAAAAGUUAAUGACCUGAACAUAGUAAAUUCACACAUGAGAAAAAAUAAUUCAAAUCCCAUUAUACACUAAAAACACAAUUUGGAGAACAAAGCCUAUAAGAACAGUGACUGGAAAACACUUCACUUGGAAUAUAUCAGAAAGUUUCUACCAGAAGGAGACAGGGUUAAGAGCAAAUGUGGCAGUAGCUUCACACAGAAAUCAGGUUUUAGUAUUCUUCAGUAUUUACACGAGUGAAAUUGUAUUUCUUGAAAGUGAGAAAGUCUUUUCACAGAAGUCAGAACCAGUUUUAAAUUAUUCAUACUACAGAGAAGCCCUGUGAUUACUGUACAUUAUAUAUUGUAUAUGGAAAAAUCUUCAUCUGUGAGUCACAGCUUACUGUAUACCAGACAAGUAAUUGUUAAGAAUAGGUUUUGUAAGAAUAUAUCGUCUUAUUAAAUGCCAUAAAAUUCAAAUAGAGAAGAAGCUCUAUUUGAUACAUUGGAAAAGGUCUUCCUAUAGAAGCAGAUUUCAUAAUAAACAUAGUUCAUUUUGUUUACUGAUUUAACUUCAAGCCCAUGUCUCAAACCAGUGGAGAAAAACAGACCAUCCAACACUUUCCUUUCUAUUAAAAUAAAUAUUUACGUACACACACACAUGCAUACAUAUAUAACUUGGCAUAAAUGUGACUUUAUUUAUUUACUUUAGAGACAGGAUUUCAAUCUGUCGCCCAGGCACCCAGAUGGGAGUCCAGUGGCACAAUCCUGGCUCACUGCAGCCUCGACCCCUGGGCUCAAGUGAUCCUCCUGUCCUAGCCUAUAGAGUAGCUGGGACUACAGGCACACGCCACCACACCUGCUAAUUUUUUUAGUUUUUUAGAGACAGGGUCUUGCUAUUUUUCCCAGGUCAGUCUCAAACUCCUGGCCUCAAGCAGUCCUCCUGCCUCAGCCUCCCAAAUUGCUGAGAUUAUAGGCAUGAGCCACCACACCUGGCCUAACUGUAACUUUUAUAAUGUAUUUUAUGUCUUCUUGAUUUUUGAACUUCCAUUCAUAGCAAUUCCAACCACUCCAACAGUCUGUCAACAGAUAAUCAAUUGGACAAGGACAAUCAUGCCCUUAAGUACUAGAGAUUAUUUUUUUCUGUAGCAUAUGCUUGUAGGAGUGGGACUGAUCAAAUGGUAUGUGUUAUUUUAUUUUAACAGAUGUUGCCAGAUUUCUUUGUCCUAAGACUGUAGCUUUUUAUGUUUCCAAUAUUAGUGUAUAAAUAUACCUCUCCCGCACUACAAGUAGCUGUUACUCUUUUUUUUUUUUUUUUUUCUGAGACUGAGUCUUGCUCUAUCGCCCAGACUGGAGUGCAGAGGCACAAUUUUGGCUCACUGCAUCCUCUCCCUCCUGGGUUCAAGCGAUUCUCGUGCCUCAGCUUCCCAAGUGGCUGGGAUUACAGGCGCCUGCCACCAUGCCCAGCUAAUUUUUGUAUUUUUA
rnacentral:lncRNA from 1 species